rnacentral:rRNA from 1 species
GACGAACGCUGGCGGUAUGCCUAACACAUGCAAGUCGAACGGGGGAGGUUGCUUCGGUAACCAACCUAGUGGCGCACGGGUGAGUAAUGCACAGGAAUCUGCCCCAUGGUGGGGGAUAGCUCGGAGAAAUCUGAAUUAAUCCCGCAUAAUGCCGAAAGGUGAAAGUCGUAAGACGCCAAGGGAUGAGCCUGUGUCUGAUUAGUUAGUUGGUGUGGUAAAAGCGCACCAAGACGAUGAUCAGUAGCUGGUUCGAGAGGAUGAUCAGCCACAGUGGGACUGAGAUACGGCCCACACUCCUACGGGAGGCAGCAGUGGGGAAUAUUCCGCAAUGGACGAAAGUCUGACGGAGCAAUACCGCGUGUAGGAAGAAGGCCCUAGGGUUGUAAACUACUGUCGUCGGGAAGAAAUAAAUGACGGUACCCGAAAAGGAAGCACCGGCUAACUCUGUGCCAGCGCCGCGGUAA